AAGAAGCCGAAUCCGGCCCGGGAGCGGGGGAACCAAGUUAUUUGGGGUGAAUGUCAUGGCUGCGGCAACGCAAAUCCGACAAGGACGGACUCUCUGUCCUAAUCCGGCAGCUAACCUCGUAGGCAAAAAUGAGAGGAG
rnacentral:sRNA from 1 species